AAGAGAGGCGGAAUGAUACCUGAAGACCGUUCUCCGGGCUGUUUCUGUUUUGCUCCCACUCGCGGGCCAUGAGCUUAUUACCCUUUAUUUGUACCAGCCACCAAAGGAAAUUGAUUGGGCUGUUUUCUUGCCAGAAAGAUGAUAAAAAGAAGGAUGCUUGUGUUUGUGAUGUGGUUCUGUUUCGAUAUUGGGACGUGCCAUAUCAAAUGGUCCAAGGUGGUUACAGUUGAGGGCUUAAGGUGUUCGUGCAUUUGAGAAUAAAUUGAUCAAACCUGGGAUCGAACGCGUGCUGUACAAGGAAAAAAAGAGCCGAGGUAAUCGUUGCUUAGGAACUAACCAGGAUUGACUGGACAGGAGCAAGUUGAACAGCUUAUUAAAAUGUAUUUCGGGUUGGUUUUAAAGGAACUUAAAAAGUGAGGAAAUUUGAGAGA